GGGUUGUUAAGGGGGCAGACAUUACAUGCAAGUCGAACGGUGAAGCCAAGCUUGCUUGGUGGAUCAGUGGCGAACGGGUGAGUAACACGUGAGCAACCUGCCCUGGACUCUGGGAUAAGCGCUGGAAACGGCGUCUAAUACUGGAUAUGAGCUCUCAUCGCAUGGUGGGGGUUGGAAAGAUUUUUCGGUCUGGGAUGGGCUCGCGGCCUAUCAGCUUGUUGGUGAGGUAAUGGCUCACCAAGGCGUCGACGGGUAGCCGGCCUGAGAGGGUGACCGGCCACACUGGGACUGAGACACGGCCCAGACUCCUACGGGAGGCAGCAGUGGGGAAUAUUGCACAAUGGGCGGAAGCCUGAUGCAGCAACGCCGCGUGAGGGAUGACGGCCUUCGGGUUGUAAACCUCUUUUAGCAGGGAAGAAGCGAGAGUGACGGUACCUGCAGAAAAAGCGCCGGCUAACUACGUGCCAGCAGCCGCGGUAAUACGUAGGGCGCAAGCGUUAUCCGGAAUUAUUGGGCGUAAAGAGCUCGUAGGCGGUUUGUCGCGUCUGCUGUGAAAUCCCGAGGCUCAACCUCGGGCCUGCAGUGGGUACGGGCAGACUAGAGUGCGGUAGGGGAGAUUGGAAUUCCUGGUGUAGCGGUGGAAUGCGCAGAUAUCAGGAGGAACACCGAUGGCGAAGGCAGAUCUCUGGGCCGUAACUGACGCUGAGGAGCGAAAGGGUGGGGAGCAAACAGGCUUAGAUACCCUGGUAGUCCACCCCGUAAACGUUGGGAACUAGUUGUGGGGACCAUUCCACGGUUUCCGUGACGCAGCUAACGCAUUAAGUUCCCCGCCUGGGGAGUACGGCCGCAAGGCUAAAACUCAAAGGAAUUGACGGGGACCCGCACAAGCGGCGGAGCAUGCGGAUUAAUUCGAUGCAACGCGAAGAACCUUACCAAGGCUUGACAUACACCAGAACACCGUAGAAAUACGGGACUCUUUGGACACUGGUGAACAGGUGGUGCAUGGUUGUCGUCAGCUCGUGUCGUGAGAUGUUGGGUUAAGUCCCGCAACGAGCGCAACCCUCGUUCUAUGUUGCCAGCACGUAAUGGUGGGAACUCAUGGGAUACUGCCGGGGUCAACUCGGAGGAAGGUGGGGAUGACGUCAAAUCAUCAUGCCCCUUAUGUCUUGGGCUUCACGCAUGCUACAAUGGCCGGUACAAAGGGCUGCAAUACCGUGAGGUGGAGCGAAUCCCAAAAAGCCGGUCCCAGUUCGGAUUGAGGUCUGCAACUCGACCUCAUGAAGUCGGAGUCGCUAGUAAUCGCAGAUCAGCAACGCUGCGGUGAAUACGUUCCCGGGUCUUGUACACACCGCCCGUCAAGUGCGAUGAAAGUCGGUAACACCUGAAGCCGGUGUGCCCAACUGCGCUAGUGGAGGGAGUACCAGUAUAUAUGUUGACCCGCUUCUCGA
rnacentral:rRNA from 1 species